rnacentral:lncRNA from 1 species
UCAAAAAUUUCAUCCAUCGCGACCGCUAGGGCAAACGCCAUCGCGGCUCGCGCGGGAUGCAGUGCCAUUGCACUAGGCAGGGCUGCCAAUAACCCUUCAAUUAUAUAUUGCGAUUCUAAGGGGAUGUGCUGAAGUUUUGGCCAUUGAAAGACAUAAAAUGGAGAUGGUUUACACAGCUCGCGCCAACGAACACAACGUCGUCGUAAUGUCCCAUGUGAACUGGGUGACUUUCUCAGGCCCACUUUUCCCAAAACGUUUUCGCAACGUAACGUAGCAUGUGAAUCCAGUAUUAAAGUGGUGUGUAACGAAGUAUGACAGCUAGCUCGCUGCAACUGUUAUUUCGUUCAUUGCUGGAGCGAAUGUGCCAGUGCAAGCCAUCAUGCUCCCAUUGGGAGCCCAACAUGUAACGCCGCUAAGGCGGCCCUUGGCUCACCGGGCCAACGGUUAUCGUACCAACGGUACAUCCAAGAACUAUUCAUAAUCCUUCAAUAUUAAACGGUAUGUAUCAAUACCACCUUUUUAUCGUUGGAUAAUUAUCUUCGUAACUGUUUCGCCAACUGCCGAGCUUUGUUACGGUUUGGUAUCGAGACCAUUGUAACACAGCAAAGGCGUAACCCAGGAUGCUCAGAUUGGCCUUGCGUCGUUACACAACAUGCUUCAAGGUUCUCCUGUGCAUGUCAUUUACUUUAAACAUCAUUGAACGAGCUUGCAUGACACGCUGAUAUUGCCUUGCACCUAUCAGGCUGCCGGCAUGUCAAUUAUAUUGCCGCCUGCAUGGCGCACCGUAGCUCCCCAUCUGCAAUAAGGCAAGAAUUUGACGACCGCUUUACUCAGAAAGGUCUCUGAGCAAACAAAAGCAGAACUAUGAGGAAAAGGGUUAUUUCGUGGCCAUCCCAUGCCUACCAGCAUAAACGGGAUAACGAACAAAAGCAAAACGAUACUGUGGUGAUUCUUUUCAUCCAAAGCAAAUCUCACAAGAGUGGAGCCGCGAGCGCAGAUCGUUAUGGCAUACAUGCAUGCAGCGCUUUCGAGGAUUGCCGUGCUACUCUCAUUGCACUACUGAAAACCAUUUUCUCAGCAGUCGUCCAAGGCUGCUUGUUGGGCCCUGCGGAACGUCUAGGCACCUGAACGACGGUUGGGCAUUCGGCAGCGAAGGCAAGCCACGAAGCUAGGGGCACUCGGGCAGCAUGCCUACCUUCCUGUCCUUAUGCGACUCAUGUAUGAGGUAACCAGCAAGUACAUACGUAUUUAUGUUACAGUUACGUUGAAACCUGAACGUGCUAAUCACAACCCAACGGCUUUUUAACCUAGCUUGGCAAGAGCUUAGUCGUAUACUUAGCAUGGCCAGCAAGCCGCCGAACAUGAUCUGCGAAGGCGACGUCUGUCACAAGGUAACACACAGUUCACUGUGCGUCGCAUCCGUCGAAAGACGAGCAGAGGUGCCAUAGGUCCCGAACUCAGCAUAUUAGAUACGUAUAAGAACUAUCUUACACUGGCUGAUUCUCAGGUGACCCAGGACCAAAUAGCGGCGAGGUACGGCCGUGUUCCCGUUUUUAAACUUCUGAGCUCGUCGGCAUUGCAGAGCAAGGCCGGAGCUCAAGUCCCUCUCUCCAACAGCAUCGGUGAGCUGUCAUGGGGUAUGGUUGAGGGAAUUUCGUUUCGCGUGCGAUGCGGGAGCAUAGCUCCUUCGGCAGCAAACGUUUUUCCCGUUGCCCAGCGCAUUACAUCCUAAACACACCGGAUGUCACCCCUGGCUGCCAACCCUCGUCCUACCCACAUAAUCUGACCCCGCCUUCUUUCUUUGUGCACAGCCGGCUGCGUGUUGGACUCACAGCUAAAAUUGCACCCUAUGAGCGAUGCUUGGGUGCCGUGUUAAGUAUUCAUCAGGGCAUCAUCAGGAAAGAAAGCCGCUCCAACCACCGCUAUCUUACGAACCCGCUCACACCGCGCCGCACUCCGACGGCCCCCUCGACAACUGAUCCGUAUUUCCCCCUUCUUCCUGCACUCUUUCGCCUCCCCGCUCUUCUGGUGGCAAUGCAAUACCCU